UACGUAGGGUGCGAGCGUUAAUCGGAAUUACUGGGCGUAAAGCGUCCGUAGGCGGUUUCAAAAGUCUGUUGUUAAAGCCCACAGCUCAACUGUGGAUCGGCAAUGGAAACUGUGAGACUAGAGAGUGGUAGGGGUAGAGGGAAUUCCUAGUGUAGCGGUGAAAUGCGUAGAUAUUAGGAAGAACACCAGUGGCGAAGGCGCUCUACUGGGCCAUUACUGACGCUGAUGGACGAAAGCUAGGGGAGCGAAAGGG
rnacentral:rRNA from 1 species